rnacentral:pre_miRNA from 1 species
AAGACAAUCACCUGGGGAUCUUGUUAAAAUGCAGAUUUUGAUUCAGCAGGUCUGGGGUGGGGCCUGAGACUCUGCAUUUCAAACAAUCUCCCAGGUGAUGCCAGU